UCUCCGUAGGUGAACCUGCGGAGGGAUCAUUACAAGUGACCCCGGUCUUACCACCGGGAUGUUCAUAACCCUUUGUUGUCCGACUCUGUUGCCUCCGGGGCGACCCUGCCUUCGGGCGGGGGCUCCGGGUGGACACUUCAAACUCUUGCGUAACUUUGCAGUCUGAGUAAACUUAGUUAAUAAAUUAAAACUUUUAACAACGGAUCUCUUGGUUCUG
rnacentral:misc_RNA from 1 species